CGGCAGCGCGGGAAAGCUUGCUUUCCUGGCGGCGAGUGGCGGACGGGUGAGUAAUACUUAGGAAUCUGCCCACUAGUGGGGGAUAGCCCGGGGAAACUCGGAUUAAUACCGCAUAAGCCCUAUGGGGGAAAGCUGGGGAUCCAGCACCAUGGCCUUUUGUCAACCGAUCAGGUGGCGACAACUAAAGAGGCUAUGGUGCUGGGCCUGGCGCUAGUGGAUGAGCCUAAGUCCUAUCAGCUAGUUGGUGGGGUAAAAGCCUACCAAGGCGACGACGGGUAGCUGGUCUGAGAGGAUGAUCAGCCACACUGGGACUGAGACACGGCCCAGACUCCUACGGGAGGCAGCAGUGGGGAAUAUUGGACAAUGGGCGAAAGCCUGAUCCAGCAAUGCCGCGUGUGUGAAGAAGGCCUGCGGGUUGUAAAGCACUUUCAGUGGGGAAGAAAAGCUUGGUGUGAAUAGCGCCAAGUUUUGACGUUACCCACAGAAGAAGCACCGGCUAACUCCGUGCCAGCAGCCGCGGUAAUACGGAGGGUGCGAGCGUUAAUCGGAAUCACUGGGCGUAAAGCGCGCGUAGGCGGCUAACUAAGUCGGGUGUGAAAGCCCUGGGCUUAACCCUCGAACUGCACUCGAUACUGCUUAGCUAGAGUAUGGUAUAGGGAAUCGGAAUUCCGGGUGUAGCGGUGAAAUGCGUAGAGAUCCGGAGGAACACCAGUGGCUAACGCGGCUUCCUGGACCAAUACUGA
rnacentral:rRNA from 1 species